rnacentral:rRNA from 1 species
GACGAACGCUGGCGGCGUGCCUAAUACAUGCAAGUAGAACGCUGAAGGAGGAGCUUGCUUCUCCGGAUGAGUUGCGAACGGGUGAGUAACGCGUAGGUAACCUGCCUGGUAGCGGGGGAUAACUAUUGGAAACGAUAGCUAAUACCGCAUAAUAGCAGUUAUUGCAUGAUAACUGUUUGAAAGGUGCAAUUGCACCACUACCAGAUGGACCUGCGUUGUAUUAGCUAGUUGGUGGGGUAACGGCUCACCAAGGCGACGAUACAUAGCCGACCUGAGAGGGUGAUCGGCCACACUGGGACUGAGACACGGCCCAGACUCCUACGGGAGGCAGCAGUAGGGAAUCUUCGGCAAUGGACGGAAGUCUGACCGAGCAACGCCGCGUGAGUGAAGAAGGUUUUCGGAUCGUAAAGCUCUGUUGUAAGAGAAGAACGAGUGUGAGAGUGGAAAGUUCACACUGUGACGUAUCUACC